UUCCACAAAGAGAGAACACUCUCCACUAUUACUUUUAUAGAUUUCAAUAUAAUCCAGAAUACAAUUGAUCUCUACUAUUUAUUAGCAAUUACAGAUCAAUCAAGAAUAUACAAGAAUACUAAUCUUCAGCUGACACACAUGUCCGUCCCAUGCACGCUGAGCUAAAACCUCCAGCAACCAUAUCAAUUUCUCACCAUCCCAAACGGAAUUUCCCGCCACAAUUCUAAAGCUUGCUCAUUAAUCAAUACGCCCCAUAGGUAACGAGAUAUCCAAACAGCCAAAUUUGAGUCAUCAUCAAAAACUUUGGCACAAAGUGUAGCAUUUUUGGCAACAAUAACUUCCCUUUGUUGCUAACUCCAACUGAAGCUCUUCUGAAAUCAUACUUGGCUUCUUGAAGCUCCUCCCUCACAUCCUUAGCAGUGUGGACUCUUACCUGCAUUUUUCUUCUGCUAGAAUACCAUCUACAGUACAUCUGAAUAUCCAAGACAAUUUAAAAGCCUUUGGCAUAUCAUAACAGAAGUGCUAUUACUGCAGGGGAUGAGUACCACAGAUAAGAGCAAAUGCUCUGAGUGUUUCAUGUGUAUCUAUUGCAGACUUUCGUUGUUCCCCUGAUACCUUCAGCUUGUAAAGGGCAAGAAGCAAAGCCUGAAAAUAUUAUUCAGUACCAGUGUUAAUCACAGAAUGACAUACAAUAACAGACAAAACAGUGAACAACCGUGGGCAAUUUGGCAUCACUAAGACAGGUCAUACGAUUUGCGGCCUAUGGAGAGGUGGUUUUAUCUUCAAAUUUACAUACUCAACAGCAGCUGCACUAAAAGAAUGCCCCCUGACAGUGUAUGCAGCCUUUUGCAUCAGCGAGAAUUGAGAAGAGCUUCAAAUCACUUCUUGGAACUCCAUAUGCCAACUAUGCCUGCCAACAAUUUAGAAAAUAGAGAAAAAAAAUGAAAUGUUUAACCUGUUUAAUACUUAAAACCUACUUGGUGUCAGUUAUGCUAGUAAAUUACAUGUCAGAAAGAGAAGCAAAGAGUCCUACAUGCAUUAUCUGUGCAUUGGACGAGUUGAUCUAGAAAGAGAGCUUCUCAUUGCAUGUCAAGUGGAUAGGGUUCACUGUUGCUCAACAAGAAACCUGUUCUCCAAAGUCCAAACAGUAUAACCAAACAAGAUAUAGAGAUAUAAUUUCAGACAACUCAACCAAGCAACAUGACUAUAUCUUUACCAAACAAUACUCGUUUCAUUCAGUGCACACAAAAUGAAAGGCAAAACCUAAACUAAUGCACCUAGAAAAUGAGUUAACAUGCAUGUGUCCGUGCACAACCUCAAAUAGAUUAAUGCAACAGUAGGGUGAAAAGCAUACAGCAUACAAUUCAGGUAAAAAACCACCAGAAAAGUAAAACAAUAUGAAAGGAAAAGAAUGCAGUACAUAAAUUUCAGAUUUUGUGGGCCUUUAGGAAAUAUUGCCUAUAAAACCAUCAAUUAUAUGAAUUUGUCACUAUAUCUACAAACAUUGUGGCUCUUGGGUGUGAAUUCUAGAUGAAGAGACAUUAUCUUAGAAAGAAAAUGAGAGAUAUCAUGCACUAAGAUAAUUGUAAUUCAUAAGGAAUGAAAAAUGGAAAAAUAACAUAAGUACACUCAUGAUGUGGAAGCCAAUGAAAAGGAAGUCAAAUCCCAACCAAAAUAAAAAGUGGAAGAGCUAAAAGCAAACAAUCUAGACAAACUGAAUGCAGAAAACUUUCUAGAUUAGAGGUACUUGAAAAAUGGUUUCAGUAUUUAUUUUAUAGUAAUAGUUUUUUUUAUCAUUUUGAAAGCCUUACAAACUAUAAAUUGGUCAACAGGUAAGAGAAGAUAUAAGAUAGAAGGGCCUGAUAUCAACCUUCUUAAUGCCCCUGAGGCAUACUCUAGUUGCUUCUUCCCAACUGACAUCCAAGAAACUCCAGUUGCCAAACCAUAGUUUCCAAUGUCUGGCCAACUCAACUUUCCGAGCACUAUAUAGGGAUCGAAGACAUUCUCUGAAGCCAACACUUCAGAAUUACUCUGUAUAUCAACUUGGGGGCUCGUUUUCUCUGAAAGUUGAUUAGGGCAAUCUGAAAGGCCCUUAGGCGUCAUUCCUUUUAAAAACUUCUUGAGCUCUGCAAGUUGAGUAGGUUCAGUGUCCAUCUUCACAGAUAUAUUCUCAUGAAAAAGUGCAGUUGACUUCACUGCAUGCUGAUCCUCCAUAACUGACUGUAUAUAAGCUGUUUCACUGGUUGAUUCUAUAAGGUGGUCUUCACAUGAGAUAUCCUUGUCAGAGUGAUGCAGUGCAAAAUUGGAAUGCUUUGGACGCCUCAAAGAAGAUGAAAUCUAUGCUUUCAUAUUUGCUGAGCAAACAGCUAUGGACUGAGAAGCUGAACGCCUCAAACGAUAUUCAACAAGCCUCCGCUCAUUUCUCUCUCGACUAAGUUUGAAAUGCAGAGAGACAAUUUCUUGCUCAAGUUUUAAAACUAGGACUUCCAGUACUGCACUAGUGGAUAGAAGGUCUUGAGCCAGAAGAAGCAAAAGGGGAGUUUUCAACUCAACUCAACUCAGAGUUUUCAACAAUAAUUAAAUACUCCUAAUAGAAACCCUGUCCACAAGUGAAACAGAAACCAGAAUAUGUAGACCAAGAAACAAAAAAAAAAACGUAACCAUUUGUAGCAAAGUAUUUCAACAAUUGUAAAGAUCUAAAAUUUUAAUCCAUUAUGCAAUCAAUCUAUUACUGAGACGUAAUCACCAAACCCUACAGGUAAUAAGCUCGGCGCAAGCUCACUCAAGUCCCUUUCAAUACUUUUCAACUAUUAAGUGGCGCGUCCUAGCAGUUGGUAUGGAGCAGGGGAACAUAGUAAUAUCAAUUGGUUAAAUUUGAGGCAACAACUGAUGGUUCGGAUAGUACCAUGCGUAACAAUAAGCAAAGCUUACAACACUGAAUUAAACAUGAUACUAAAAUUCGGAUUGAAUCGUGGAUUACUUGGAAUUUAAUAUGCCAUCAAAUUUUGAAUCGGGCCAAUUUAACAAGGUUGGGUUGCAACUAAUAACAGUGUUGCAGUGAAAGGAUAUUCAGAAUUAAAAAUUAAAAAAACAAAAACGCCGGUAGAGAUGAGUUAAAGAAUUUCAGAAAUUCAAAAGUUUGUCCUCACUUGAAGGACCAUUUGAAACAUAAAGGGACUUGGAAAGGUAGAAGAAGAUACCAGGCAGGAAAGAACGUUCAAUCAUUUACCGAAACAACUCGAACUCUUGAAGCAUAAUUGCUCGUUUCCGUACCUUCUCUUUUGCAGGAAAAUACUGUAAGCGUGGAAAAAAAAUUCUUCACCUCACUCUCAACCACUUUGCCCAGUACAAGUGAAAAAACUCUCGACCAAAGUCAAACAUGUCAUCGGAUGUACGGACGUCCGGUGUCAGCAAUCUAUAAAGUUGGAAACUAUUUUCCUCUCAUGACUCAUGAGAUAUUCAC
rnacentral:misc_RNA from 1 species